CAGCCGCCGCGGUAAUACGUAGGGUGCGAGCGUUAAUCGGAAUUACUGGGCGUAAAGCGUGCGCAGGCGGUUUUGUAAGACAGGUGUGAAAUCCCCGGGCUCAACCUGGGAAUGGCGCUUGUGACUGCAAAGCUAGAGUGCGGCAGAGGGGGAUGGAAUUCCGCGUGUAGCAGUGAAAUGCGUAGAUAUGCGGAGGAACACCGAUGGCGAAGGCAAUCCCCUGGGCCUGCACUGACGCUCAUGCACGAAAGCGUGGGGAGCAAACAGGAUUAGAUACCCCUGUAGUCCCUGUCUCUUAUAC
rnacentral:rRNA from 1 species